GACGUAGGGAGCGAGCGUUGUCCGGAAUUACUGGGCGUAAAGAGCUCGUAGGCGGGACCGUAAGUCCGAGAGGAAAUCUCAAGGCUCAACUUUGGGGCUUUCUUGGAUACUGCGGUUCUUGAGGAUGAGAGAGGUAAGCAGAAUUCCCGGUGUAGCGGUGAAAUGCGUAGAGUAUCAGGAGGAACACCUGCGGUGUGAGACGGCUUCUGGACCAUUGUUGACGCUGAGACACGAAAGCGUGGGUAGCAAACAGG
rnacentral:rRNA from 1 species